UCUACAGCUUCAUCAGAGCCCCAGGUGAUUCUGUAAGCUGGGUGGUGACAGGGGUACGGCAAAGGUGUGUGAGGGCAGAGGGCAGAGGGCUGGUUGCAGGCCUUCUCCCAAACAUGCCUUCACUCCCGCCCUCUCUCUCCCUGCGCUCCCUCACCAACAGCCCGAGACCUCUCUUCCAGCUCUCUACGCCUUCCUGCCACUGAGAUUUAAAUGCCUGAAAGCCUCUCUCAUGGUACAUGACACAUUUUAUAUAUGUUAAUUACUAGUAUUUUUAGUGAUUUUCAAAAGAAACUUUAGUGUCUCUCAUAUUGUAAGCAAUCUAACAUUUUGCUCACGCACCCUGUGUGUCUGAAAAGCCUUUACUCCUUGUGAAAAUCCUACCCAUCUUUCAAAGACCAGUUCAAUUUUAAUGUUUGUUUUUUUUUGAGACAGAGUCUUGCUCUGUCGCCCAGGCUGCAGUGCAGUGGCACGAUCAUGGCUCACUGCAGCCUCGACUUCCUGGGCCCAAGUGAUCCUUGCACCUCAGCCUCCCAAGUAGCUGGGACUACAGGUGCAUGCCAUCACGCCCAGCUAGGUUUUUAAUUUUUGCAGAGGCGGUGUCUCCAUAUGUUGCUCAGGUUGGUCUCAAGCAAUCCUCUUGCCACAGCCUCCCAAAGUGCUAGGAUUACAGGUGUGAGCCCUGUACCUAGCCAACUUUUUCUUUAAGACCCUUUCUCUUUCAUUAUUUGAUCAAAAACAAAUCUGACUUUCUCUGAACUUCUGAACAGAAAUAAAAUGAAUCUCCUACUACAUUGACCUAAUCAACACACGUCUCCCGUUCCCUGUCAAGACACCAUGGAGGUGGAUGUUGUGUGAAGGUAGGAGCAGAGGUUUGAAUUUGGGAAGACUGGGUCUACAUCCUGGCUACUGGGCUCUGUGACUUCACAUACACCCUCAAGCUUUCUGACACAACAUUCUUUAUCUCUUUGAAAUACUCUAAUAAUAAGAAAUACCUGGCCUGGAG
rnacentral:lncRNA from 1 species